GGCUCACACACAUCCUUCACACUCCUCAGCAAAGCUCUUAGGAUGACCCAAGUACAGGAGGGCCAUCAUGAAGGACAGCUGCCUCUCUGGCGCAAUCUCCCUCAUAGGAAAACGGGGUUUCUCUGUGUAACCUGGGCUGGUAUGGAGCUCACUCUGUAGACCAGGCUGGCCUCGAACUCAUAGAGAUCCACCUGCCUCUGCCUCCCUGGGUGCUGGGAUUAAAGAUGUCUGUCUCUGAGGUGAUUCUGGAUCCUGUCAGAUUGGCAGCCGGUGUUAACCGUAACACACACACACACACACACACACACACACACCCCACUCCAGGUGAGGGUGAAGAAGGAAAGCCAGGGACGGCAGCUCUCCUUGGGCACAUACAUGUACCGGCCAGUGCUGCGCGGCGGCAGAGAGGCUGGUGUGACUGGACCGCUAGGAGGAUACAGCAACUGGGACCAGUGCGUCUGAGAGGCCUGUUGGAAGUGGCCCUAAAACGUGGGACUCCGGCAAGGAGUUGAGAUGGGGCACAAACGCAGGUCAUGGUAAUCUUGUGAAGGUCAGAGGACAGUUCUUGGGAGCUGAGUCUCCAUCUUCCAUGGAUUCUUCAGACUUUUACCUACUAACUCAUCUUGCUAGCCUGAGGUGCGGUGGCUCCUCAGCAGCUAGAGUGGAGAGACAGCGCUCUGCAGAUUCCAGGCCGAGGCGCCUCAGCCUGGCCAAAACACGCCUGCGGUCAAAUGGAGCCAGCUGCCCCCUCACACACCUUCACCCCUCAAGGUGCUCUUAGGUGAAAGUGGGGCAGAAGCAUCCGGGGGGAAUCUGAUAGCGCAGCCGGCCUCAAAACCGGAAAUUCUUCUGAACUCUCAUUUCAUCCUCCCAUUGUCAAGUGAAUUUUUCAUGACAGGCCAUAAAAUAUCCAUGUGUGCUUUAUUAUUAAAAUGUCCUAAAUGACUUUCCAGCUAGUUACCUAACUUCCGCCCCUCCCUCACAUGAAGCAGAAUUGGCCAUGGUACCCAUUAGCUCCCAACAGGUUCCCAGGACCCAUCUCCCGGACUGGAUGCGUGAAAACCGCUGCUCAGUUCCCGGGCUGCCAUGCAGGACUGAGUUAGCAACCCAGAGCCCCUGCUCCCCCCACCACU